UUGACAUUGAAACAAAAAGUUAUUUUUAAAACACAUGCCUAUAGAUGCCAAAAUGGAGAGACUAAUAAUGUGUGAUGAACAUGUGAUCAGAAUGCAUUCUGGAAAAGGGCUCACAAAUCACUCCUCACUUUAGUGUCCAUAGGUUCAUAACAUACCAUAUACCUCAGAAACCAACAGAGCUAGCAGGGAUAUGCAGACACCCUAAAAGCCAUUGUUAGAUCGGGUCUGUGGAUUACGACUAUUUCUUUAAGCUCAAG